rnacentral:rRNA from 1 species
CCCCACUAUGCUUGUUCUUAAGCUUUUCCGCCAGAGUAUUACGAGCUACAGCUUAAAACUCAAAGAACUUGGCGGUGCUCUAUACCCACCUAGAGGAGCCUGUUCUAUAAUCGAUACCCCCCGAUAAACCUCACCGCCUCUAGCCAAUACAGCCUAUAUACCACCGUCCUCUGCUUAUCUUCAAAAGAACUAUAAUAAGCAAAAUAAUUUAAAAUAAAAAAGCCAGGUCAAGGUGUAGCACAUGAAGCGGAAAGAAAUGGGCUACAUUUUCUUCCCUAGAAAACACGUUAAGUCAUAUGAAAUAAAACAAAAGGAGGAUUUAGAAGUAAAAAGAAAUAAGAAUGUUCUUUUAAACUAGGCAAUAAAGCACGCACACACCGCCCGUCACCCUCAUUUAAUUAAACAGAAGAGGAAAGUCGUAACAUGGUAAGCCUACCGGAAGGUGGUCUUAGAUAUAGGAUAUAGC